rnacentral:tRNA from 1 species
GCCGCCGUGGCUUAGCCCGGUCAGAGCGGCUGAUUCGUAAUCAGCAGUCCAUGGGUUCGAAUCCCAUCGGCGGCU